rnacentral:pre_miRNA from 1 species
AAAGUACUCCCUCCGUCCCAAAAUUCUUGUCUUAGAUUUGUCUAGAUACGGAUGUAUCAAAUCACAUUUUAGUAUUAGAUACAUCCGUAUCUAGACAAAUCUAAGACAAGAAAUUUGGGAUAGAGGGAGUAGUUG